UACAGAGGGUGCAAGCGUUGUCCGGAAUUAUUGGGCGUAAGAGCUCGUAGGCGGUUGUCGCGUCUGCUCUGAAAGCCCGGGGCUCAACCCUGGAGGCGGGUGGAUACUGCUGAGCUCGAGUCCGGAAGAGGCGAGUGGAAUUCCUGGUGUAGCGGUGAAAUGCGCAGAUAUCAGGAAGAACACCGUAUGGCGAAGGCAGCUCUCUGGGACGGUACUGACGCUGAGACGCGAAAGCGUGGGGAGCGAACAGG
rnacentral:rRNA from 1 species